rnacentral:rRNA from 1 species
AUAGAUCCUGAAACCGCAUGCUUACAAAAAGUAGGAGCCUCGAAAGGGGUGACUGCGUACCUUUUGUAUAAUGGGUCAGCGACUUACAUUCAGUGGCAAGGUUAACCGAAUAGGGAAGCCGUAGAGAAAUCGAGUCCGAAUAGGGCGAUCAGUCGCUGGGUGUAGACCCGAAACCAAGUGAUCUAUCCAUGGGCAGGAUGAAGGUGCCGUAACAGGUACUGGAGGUCCGAACCGACUAAUGUUGCAAAAUUAGCGGAUGACCUGUGGAUAGGGGUGAAAGGCUAAACAAACUUGGAAAUAGCUGGUUCUCUCCGAAAACUAUUUAGGUAGUGCCUCAAGUAUUACCUGCGGGGGUAGAGCACUGUUUUGGCUAGGGGGUCAUGGCGACUUACCAAACCAAGGCAAACUCCGAAUACCGCAGAGUACAGCUUGGGAGACAGAGCACCGGGUGCUAACGUCCGGACUCAAGAGGGAAACAACCCAGACCGCCAGCUAAGGUCCCUAAAAUUGGCUAAGUGGGAAACGAAGUGGGAAGGCUAAAACAGUCAGGAUGUUGGCUUAGAAGCAGCCAUCAUUUAAAGAAAGCGUAAUAGCUCACUGAUCGAGUCGUCCUGCGCGGAAGAUGUAACGGGGCUAAGCCAGUUACCGAAGCUGCGGAUUUGCAAUUUAUUGCAAGUGGUAGGAGAGCGUUCUGUAGGCCUGUGAAGGUGGUGGUGUAAACCCUGCUGGAGGUAUCAGAAGUGCGAAUGCUGACAUGAGUAGCGUUAAAGGGGGUGAAAAGCCCCCUCGCCGUAAGCGCAAGGUUUUCUACGCAACGUUCAUCGGCGUAGAGUGAGUCGGCCCCUAAGGCGAGGCAGAGAUGCGUAGCUGAUGGGAAACAGGUCAAUAUUCCUGUACCGAUGACAAGUGCGAUGUGGGGACGGAGAAGGUUAGCUCAGCCAACUGUUGGAUAUGUUGGUUCAAGCCUGUAGUCGUGCUCGGUAGGCAAAUCCGCCGGGCUUAGAUGAGGGGUGAUAACGAGGGUGCUUGCACCUGAAGUGAGUGAUACCCUGCUUCCAGGAAAAGCCACUAAGCUUCAGCUUGUCAUUGACCGUACCGCAAACCGACACUGGUGCGCGAGAUGAGUAUUCUAAGGCGCUUGAGAGAACUCAGGAGAAGGAACUCGGCAAAUUGAUACCGUAACUUCGGGAGAAGGUAUGCCCCAAGUAGGUGAACUCGAACAGAGGGAGCCCAACGGGGUUGCAAAAAAAUCGGUGGCUGCGACUGUUUUAAUAAAAACACAGCACUCUGCAAACACGAAAGUGGACGUAUAGGGUGUGACGCCUGCCCGGUGCUGGAAGAUUAAAUGAUGGGGUGCAAGCUCUUGAUUGAAGUCCCAGUAAACGGCGGCCGUAACUAUAACGGUCCUAAGGUAGCGAAAUUCCUUGUCGGGUAAGUUCCGACCUGCACGAAUGGCGUAACGAUGGCCACACUGUCUCCUCCUGAGACUCAGCGAAGUUGAAAUGUUUGUGAUGAUGCAAUCUCCCCGCGGAAAGACGGAAAGACCCCAUGAACCUUUACUGUAGCUUUGUAUUGGACUUUGAACAGAUCUGUGUAGGAUAGGUGGGAGGCUUUGAAGCGAGGUCGCUAGAUCUCGUGGAGCCAACGUUGAAAUACCACCCUGGUGUGUUUGAGGUUCUAACCUAGGUCCAUUAUCUGGAUCGGGGACAGUGCAUGGUAGGCAGUUUGACUGGGGCGGUCUCCUCCCAAAGCGUAACGGAGGAGUUCGAAGGUACGCUAGUUACGGUCGGGACAUCGUGAUAAUAGUGCAAUGGCAUAAGCGUGCUUAACUGCGAGACUGACAAGUCGAGCAGAUACGAAAGUAGGACAUAGUGAUCCGGUGGUUCUGUAUGGAAGGGCCAUCGCUCAACGGAUAAAAGGUACUCUGGGGAUAACAGGCUGAUACCGCCCAAGAGUUCAUAUCGACGGCGGUGUUUGGCACCUCGAUGUCGGCUCAUCUCAUCCUGGGGCUGUAGCCGGUCCCAAGGGUAUGGCUGUUCGCCAUUUAAAGAGGUACGUGAGCUGGGUUUAAAACGUCGUGAGACAGUUUGGUCCCUAUCUUCCGUGGGCGCUG